GUGGAUAGUGUCACAGAUUGUGAUCUUCACAGAUGCCACAACAAUAUUUUUUGUUCCACGUAUUCUUACAAUCCUGACACACCUCUUAUUGAAAGGUGGGGUGUGUAGUCCCUCUCCCCUACUCCUAAACUGGGCAGAUUUACAACUGUCUCAACCAAUAGAAUAUGGCAGUAGUGAUGUCACAAGAGUAAGGUGAUACAGCAUCCUUUCUGCCUACUAGAAUAGUCUCUUCGGAGCCCUAGGGUAUCACAUAGUGCCUCUGACUCCCUUGAAGCUGACAAGCUGUGUGAAGGCUCAGGCUAUGUGGAGAGGACCAGCUGAGGUUAUAGCCAACAGCCAGAAGCAAAUGCCAGAGAAGCAGAAACUGAAUCCGUUGCCAGUGAGCUGCUGUGGCAUGGGGAUGUGACCACGCAUUGAUGGCAUGGGAGAUACAGGCCACCGGAGAGAAGUACGAGGUCUGACAAUGGAGUGGAGCAUCCAGCACUUCGCAGAGCGCCCAGUACAAAGGAGAACACCAUGGAGCAUCUUUUGCACUUCUGGGGGGUCAAGCACUCCACCUUGGAAAACCCUGGGAUCGAAAAUAGGAGGAAGCCUAGAAUGCCAGACUAUCCUUAAGGAAUACAGAAGAGAGACAACAGCUGUUAACUAUUCAGAAGUGAGCAGAGAGUCAAAAAAAUACUGGUGUUCACUUGCUAAGAACAAUAGCUGCUGGAGCUGCUGAGAGAACAUUUCAAAAGAAGACUCCAGCAGAGACGCAACUCAGAGGAGAAUUCCCAAAGAAUGUGAUGGCAGGUUGCCUAAUCCAGGAACCUGGACUGAAAAGGAUGAAAAGGAACAGGGCAGGUAAAGGAGUCCAACAGUAAAAGCAUGAAGACUGGAAUAGUAAAACGGCCACAGGCGAGAGGAAGUUACCCCCGCCGUGUUUAACAGACAUAGUAUUUGUGAACAUUACAGCAUUGAGAAGAACCAGAGAAGAAUCUAUAUUUUCAAAGGUACAGUAAAAAAGGGAAAGACAAAAAUAAGGCAGCAGCAAAAACAACAAAUGGUAAAGGGUGUUUUUGUGGUAUCUUUUGUAAAAAAACAGCAGCUUAUAAGAACUUAAAAUUUUUUGUUUCACCUUUCUUGCUCUUUUGAGAAAUUUGCUAUUUAAAUCUACAUACCUCUCUUCUCUUUACCUUUAUCCAGUAAUUUAAAGGUUAGAGCACCAAA